rnacentral:lncRNA from 1 species
CCGAGAACAUUUCAUAGUUGUCUGUGACGAAGAGUCUAUCAGAGUUUAGCAUUAGAUUCUAGACGUGUUGGUAGGACCUGCCAUGCUUUCCGGCGGGAUAUCAGAGCCCAGUGACCCUAUCCUCCCUUCAAGCUACUGACUGAAAGGGAAGAGACCAAAAGACCCGAGUGAGCCCGCCCCCGUCAAGUGGCUAAAAAAUGCCCAUUGACCUGUGGGAGGUGCUGGUUUUUAAGAAAUACUAUUUUACUUGAACUAUUUCUUGUCUAAAUUCUUGCACAGUGAAUUCUAUUAACUAGAGAAGAC